AGAUGGUCAAGAUGUUCUUACUGAGUCUUGCUCUAUUCUGCCUUUUGAGGGGUGGGGAGCCAAAGUUCGGUAGAUCCAGAAGGGAAGUUGUGUGUAGUACCUGUGAACAUUUUAAAAGAGGCGCUUGCUUCAAGAAUGAGGGUACCUGUGUAACGAUGGAAGGCGCUGGAUGCAGAACCCGGUCUUACUAUUCAUUCACUAACAAAACUGAUGGGUGGUCCUAUACUCAUACUAAACUGGACUGUGUUGAAAAUUGCGGAGAGACUGUAGAAUUCCUGGCUGCCUAUCAUGUGGUAAACAUAUGCUGUUCAGAUAGAAAUAAAUGCAAUGAAGAUUAUUCAUUAGCAUGAUUAUUCAACAGAAGUAGAGUGGGGUGCAACAUGCUCCAUCCCAUAACUGUAAUAGCUUUGUUUUCUCACUCACACUCAUCCCCACCUCCAUCUCCUUAACCCCACAGACCUCCCUGUCUAUUCUUAGGACUAUUCCUCCUUAGGGCCGUGAUUGGCCCAAUGAUUAGUGAUCAAACAUACACAGAUAGGGUUAAAUGAAAGAGACUAUGUAUUGCCUUGAAAUUUGACAAUGUUAAGUUUUUGCCACCUGUUUUAUGUUACCCUUUCCCUUCAUUUCCAAGUAAAAUAUUCUUUAAGCCUUCUUUGCUUCAGUUGAAUAAAGGCA
rnacentral:lncRNA from 1 species